rnacentral:rRNA from 1 species
GCAUAACGCGAAGAACCUUACCAGGUCUUGACAUCCCUCUGACCGGUGCAGAGAUGUGCCUUUCCUUCGGGACAGAGGAGACAGGUGGUGCAUGGUUGUCGUCAGCUCGUGUCGUGAGAUGUUGGGUUAAGUCCCGCAACGAGCGCAACCCUUGACUUUAGUUGCCAGCACUUCGGGUGGGCACUCUAGAGUGACUGCCGGUGACAAACCGGAGGAAGGCGGGGAUGACGUCAAAUCAUCAUGCCCCUUAUGACCUGGGCUACACACGUACUACAAUGGCCGGUACAACGGGCAGCGAAGGAGCGAUCUGGAGCCAAUCCUAUCAAAGCCGGUCUCAGUUCGGAUUGCAGGCUGCAACUCGCCUGCAUGAAGUCGGAAUUGCUAGUAAUCGCGGAUCAGCAUUGCUGCGGUGAAUACGUUCCCGGGUCUUGUACACACCG